rnacentral:rRNA from 1 species
AGAGUUUGAUCCUGGCUCAGGACGAACGCUGGCGGCGCGCCUAACACAUGCAAGUCGAACGAGAGAGAGGGAGCUUGCUUCCUCAAUCGAGUGGCGAACGGGUGAGUAACGCGUGAGGAACCUGCCUCAAAGAGGGGGACAACAGUUGGAAACGACUGCUAAUACCGCAUAAGCCCACAGGUCGGCAUCGACCAGAGGGAAAAGGAGCAAUCCGCUUUGAGAUGGCCUCGCGUCCGAUUAGCUAGUUGGUGAGGUAACGGCCCACCAAGGCAACGAUCGGUAGCCGGACUGAGAGGUUGAACGGCCACAUUGGGACUGAGACACGGCCCAGACUCCUACGGGAGGCAGCAGUGGGGAAUAUUGCACAAUGGGGGAAACCCUGAUGCAGCGACGCCGCGUGGAGGAAGAAGGUCUUCGGAUUGUAAACUCCUGUUGUUGAGGAAGACAAUGACGGUACUCAACAAGGAAGUGACGGCUAACUACGUGCCAGCAGCCGCGGUAAAACGUAGGUCACAAGCGUUGUCCGGAAUUACUGGGUGUAAAGGGAGCGCAGGCGGGAAGACAAGUUGGAAGUGAAAUCUAUGGGCUCAACCCAUAAACUGCGUUCAAAACUGUUUUUCUUGAGUAGUGCAGAGGUAGGCGGAAUUCCCGGUGUAGCGGUGGAAUGCGUAGAUAUCGGGAGGAACACCAGUGGCGAAGGCGGCCUACUGGGCACCAACUGACGCUGAGGCUCGAAAGUUGGGUAGCAAACAGGAUUAGAUACCCUGGUAGUCCACACCGUAAACGAUGAUUACUAGGUGUUGGAGGAUUGACCCCUUCAGUGCCGCAGUUAACACAAUAAGUAAUCCACCUGGGGAGUACGACCGCAAGGUUGAAACUCAAAGGAAUUGACGGGGGCCCGCACAAGCAGUGGAGUGCGUGGUUUAAUUCGACGCAACGCGAAGAACCUUACCAAGUCUUGACAUCCUGCGACGCACAUAGAAAUAUGUGUUUCCUUCGGGACGCAGAGACAGGUGGUGCAUGGUUGUCGUCAGCUCGUGUCGUGAGAUGUUGGGUUAAGUCCCGCAACGAGCGCAACCCUUACUGUCAGUUACUACGCAAGAGGACUCUGGCAGGACUGCCGUUGACAAAACGGAGGAAGGUGGGGAUGACGUCAAAUCAUCAUGCCCUUUAUGACUUGGGCUACACACGUACUACAAUGGCGUUAAACAAAGAGAAGCAAGACCGCGAGGUGGAGCAAAACUCAGAAACAACGUCCCAGUUCGGACUGCAGGCUGCAACUCGCCUGCACGAAGUCGGAAUUGCUAGUAAUCGUGGAUCAGCAUGCCACGGUGAAUAC